rnacentral:siRNA from 1 species
GUAUGACGUUUAGGAUGCUGCCAU